rnacentral:rRNA from 1 species
GAUGAACGCUGGCGGCGUGCCUAAUACAUGCAAGUCGAGCGAACAGACGAGGAGCUUGCUCCUCUGACGUUAGCGGCGGACGGGUGAGUAACACGUGGAUAACCUACCUAUAAGACUGGGAUAACUUCGGGAAACCGGAGCUAAUACCGGAUAAUAUAUUGAACCGCAUGGUUCAAUAGUGAAAGACGGUUUUGCUGUCACCUAUAGAUGGAUCCGCGCCGCAUUAGCUAGUUGGUAAGGUAACGGCUUACCAAGGCAACGAUGCGUAGCCGACCUGAGAGGGUGAUCGGCCGCACUGGAACUGAGACACGGUCCAGACUCCUACGGGAGGCAGCAGUAGGGAAUCUUCCGCAAUGGGCGAAAGCCUGACGGAGCAACGCCGCGUGAGUGAUGAAGGUCUUCGGAUCGUAAAACUCUGUUAUUAGGGAAGAACAAAUGUGUAAGUAACUAUGCACGUCUUGACGGUACCUAAUCAGAAAGCCACGGCUAACUACGUG